AAAACGGCCCUUUUCAGGGCCACUAAAUUGUACGCAACAGUGCGCGU
rfam:Trichuris trichiura, WGS project CBXK01000000 data, contig: TTRE_798